rnacentral:rRNA from 1 species
AACACGUGGGGAACCUGCCCCAUAGUCUGGGAUACCACUUGGAAACAGGUGCUAAUACCGGAUAAGAAAGCGGAUCGCAUGAUCAGCUUUUAAAAGGCGGCGUAAGCUGUCGCUAUGGGAUGGCCCCGCGGUGCAUUAGCUAGUUGGUAAGGUAAAGGCUUACCAAGGCGAUGAUGCAUAGCCGAGUUGAGAGACUGAUCGGCCACAUUGGGACUGAGACACGGCCCAAACUCCUACGGGAGGCAGCAGU